rnacentral:rRNA from 1 species
AACGAACGUUGGCGGCGUGCUUAACACAUGCAAGUCGAGCGCGGAUGGUUUCGGCCAUUCCGAGCGGCGCACGGGUGAGUAACACGUGAGUAACCUACCCUAGAGUCUGGGAUAACUUCUCGAAAGGGGAGCUAAUACCGGAUAAGCUCACAGCGUCGUCAGGCGCGGUGGGAAAAGCGUUAGCGCUUUAGGAUGGGCUCGCGUCCCAUUAGGUAGUUGGUGGGGUAAUGGCCCACCAAGCCAGAGAUGGGUAGCUGGUCUGAGAGGAUGAUCAGCCACACUGGGACUGAGACACGGCCCAGACUCCUACGGGAGGCAGCAGUGGGGAAUAUUGGACAAUGGGGGCAACCCUGAUCCAGCCAUGCCGCGUGUGUGAAGAAGGCCUGGUGUAAG